UAAAAAGAGUAUCAACGUUUUAUGUCGAAGAAACAGCAACGUCUUCUUCAUCUCAAAAAAGAAAGGAAAUGUAAUCCCUCUCAAGAGCAGCAAACGAAUUUUUUAUAAAUUCUUCGCACCACUUUGAUCUCGUUGUUUCUUUUAUCGCGUUGUUGAAUCCGGGCUUUCUUUGAAGUGAAGUGAGGUGGAAGGAAAUUAUUUCGUGGCAUAUGAGGUUUAUCAUAUUAAUUAUGGAAGUUCUUGGAUGGACUGAGCUCUUGAACGACGUGAGGUACAGAUGCUCACGUUGGUAACCCGCCAGCUUAGGAGUCCUAUUCAGCUAUCUUGGAGAGCUCCCUUUUUCCGGAGCCUAGAUUUUGGUACAGAAUCUCUUGUGGUGUAUAUGUAUUUUAUCCAGGGGUACGGCGGGGCCCUGUCCCGUCAUAUGAUACUGUUGUUACUCUUAGAGGUCUGUAGACAUAUAUGUGGGUUGUGUAUCGAUGUUGUUCAGUUGUGUCUAUAUGGCUUAUGUUUUGGGACAUUCCCAUUCGUAGUGGCAGCCUUGUUGGCUUGCGUAGAUAUAUAUAUAUAUAUAUAUAUAUAUGUUUUCAGAAGUAAUGUGUUAUGAUAUCCUUAUCGGCUCGUUUAUAGCGGGGAUGUUCCCUUAUGCAUUAUGAAAGCCUUGUCGGCUUAUGUACUAUAAUGUCUGUUGAAAGUUGUACCUCCCCAGGAGAUAGGUUGUUGUGAUACGUCUAAAUAAUGCGACAGUUUUGAGACGACGUCUUGCCUUGGUAUUGAUAAGUCUGUAUUAUGCUAGUUGUGGAUGAUUAUAGUUAACAGGUACAUACGAGUGUCCAGCUC